GGGAGAAAGUGGGUCUAGAAAGAGGUGAAAAGAGUAUUUACUAAAACUUCCCCUUUUUCUAUCCACAG
ensembl:miRNA Mir6949 microRNA 6949